CUUGAGAGUUUGAUCCUGGCUCAGAACGAACGCUGGC
rnacentral:rRNA from 13 species